GUGUUCAAAAGAAAUUUCUUUUUCUAUCUCAAUCACAUGUUAAAUUCCGUUCACUGAAUCGGAAAAGUAAAGAAUCGAAACAAAAUUCUUACAGCAGUAUCCACAUGAAAAGAACAAAAAACAAAAUUGGCAUUUGUAAGGUUCCCACGCAAAGUAAUGGGAGCUGUCACUUUACUUUCGGAAAAUUAUUCUGCUCGAUUAUUCCGUAAGUAAAAGUGACAAUUUGCUCCAUGCAGAUCAGUUGUCAAAAUUCCUCUUGGUAAUAUUGAACAAAAUUCCGUAACCUCUCUACUUUUUAAGUCGAUACUGGCCUUAAUUAGUGAAGAGAUAAAAAUAAUGAAACUGUAUGGUGCAGAAAGUGUUUUUUUCAUUGCAGUUUCUGCUGCUGGGAAAGCGGCAGAUAACUAUGGCUUCUGUACCGUGAAAUGAAGCUUAUGAUAAAUAAAAUACUGCUGCUUGCUGGUCACUGAUUGAAGAUCGUUCAGUGGCUACCAUGGGCCAAUCUCACCAACGGGAUAUAAUAAGAACUGAUGCAGGUUUAUAUCUAUUCGGAACAAAGUUAGUACAAUUUUUAAACCGAUGUUGGAUUUUUCUCCAGAUACAGGCAACCCACUUAACUUUGGAAGUAGUGCGCUGGAUUCGUCUAAAGAUAUGCUAAACAACCGGAGGAAAAUAAAAUGAUAUGUAAAACAAUUAAUUGUAUUGUAUUUUUAUUGUAAUAUUGGAGUAUAAUGUAUUCUAAAUCCUGUUGUAUUCCUAUUGUAAAACAAUAGAAACAGUAAUUGAAAACAUUUAAAACACAAUGUUUU